UACAGGGGGUGCAAACGUUGCUCGGAAUUAUUGGGCGUAAAGCGCGCGUAGGCGGCUAUCUAAGUCGGAUGUGAAAGCCCUCGGCUCAACUGAGGAAGUGCAUCCGAAACUGGGUAGCUAGAGUACCAAAGAGGAUCGCGGAAUUCCCGGUGUAGAGGUGAAAUUCGUAGAUAUCGGGAGGAACACCAGCGGCGAAGGCGGCGAUCUGGGUGGAAACUGACGCUGAGGCGCGAAAGUGUGGGGAGCAAACAGG
rnacentral:rRNA from 1 species